AGUGUCCGGUUACCAGAGUGAAGGAUUAUCGAUCUAGGGUUUUUGGAUUGGUCAAGUCGUUGAGGUAUUUGGAUAAGAUGGAUGCGGAUGGGAAUGAGAGGCCAGAGUCUGAUGACGAUGAGGAGGAGUCUGGUGAUGAGGAGGGGGAGGAGGAUGAGGGGGAAGAUGAAGAGGAGAAUGAGGAUGAGGAUGAUCCUGGGAGCGGGGAAAUUGACGGGGAGGAUAGGUCAAAUAGGAUGAGUAAUGGACAUAGUGUUGAGAAUGAUGGCGUUGUGGAUGUCGAUGAGGAUGAGGAGAGUGAUGCUGAUGAGGAAGAGACAGAG
rnacentral:lncRNA from 1 species